rnacentral:lncRNA from 10 species
CCUUCUUAGAGAGAAACAUCACCUUUUUCUAUUAAGAUAAAGGACUUUGGUCAAAAUGACAUUACACAGACUUCUGCUUCCUGUUUAUGAAGCCAGCUUUUUCUAUAGGCCAUGUUCUUUUGUUUUUAGGUUAGUAAGUUCUAGAAGUCAUGCCCUCUCUAUGGAAAGAAUUUCCCUCUGUUGCUUCUUCAGUUUUCUCUUGAAUAUCUUUGUAACAGAAACAUUUAGUGAAUUCAUUGAAGAUUUUCAAGACCUUCAUUCUAUGGAAAUGCCAAUACUGUCUUCCUUUUGCAUGCUUACAGCAGAGACUGCAACCGUGGACGGCAUGGAAAAUGGAAGAGGAGGAAGAAGAAGAAAGACCAACUCAACAACUGGUAAUUGA